GAUUUGGGUUUAAUUUGAUGCAAAGCGAAGAACCUUACUAGGGUUUGACAUGUCGCGAAUCCUCUUGAAAGAGAGGGGUACCUUCGGGAACACGGACAUAGUUGGUGCACAGCUGUUGUCAGCUCGUGUCGUAAGGUGUUAGUUAAGUCCCACAACAAGCGUAACCCUUGUGUUUAGUUGCCACCGUUGAGUUUGGAACAUUGAGCAAACUACUGGUGAUAAGUUAGAAGAAGGUGAGGAUGACAUCAAGUCAUCAUGCCCCUUAUGCCUUGGGCGACACAUGUGCUACACAAUAGAUGGGACAAGGGGUCACGAUCCGGCGAGGGUGAGCUAACUCCAAAAACCCGUCCUUAGUUCUGAUUGCUUAUAAUUAUUUUAUUAGACAACACGU
rnacentral:ncRNA from 1 species